CCUACGGGUGGCAGCAGUGAGGAAUAUUGGUCAAUGGGCGCGAGCCUGACCCAGCCAAGUCGCGUGAGGGAGUACUGCCCUAUGGGUUGUAACCCUCUUUUGUCGGGGAGCAAAAGCCGGACUUGUCCGGCUGUGAGAGUAGCCGAAGAAAGAGCAUCGGGUAACUCCGUGCCAGCAGCCGCGGUAAUACGGAGGAUGCGAGCGUUAUCCGGAUUGAGUGGGUUUAAGGGGUGUGUAGGUUGUUGUUUAAGUCAGCUGUGAAAGUUUGCGGCUUAACCAUAAAAUUGCCUUUGAAACUGGAAGACUUGAGUGUGUGUGAGGCAGGCGGAAUGCGUGGUGUAGCGGUGAAAUGCAUAGAUAUCACGCAGAACUCCGAUUGCGAAGGCAGCUUACUAAGCCACAACUGACACUGAAGCACGAAAGCGUGGGGAGCAAACAGGAUUAGAUACCCUGGUAGUC
rnacentral:rRNA from 1 species